rnacentral:lncRNA from 1 species
CGCAGCCCGGACGGAAGUAAUCUCUCAUCUCAGGAAACCCUUUCCGACUUCCUCGCCAUCCUUCCGGUCCCCGCAGCCACCUACCCCGCGCGGCCACCGAGGCAGGCGCGACCGCACGUCCUCCCGCGCCGAGCGGCCGGAGCGCAGCGCGCAGAGCCGGGGCCCUGCAGUGUCGCGGUCCUGUAGCCGAAUGCUGCGGGGCCGAAGGUUCGGGCGACCACGGCGUUUGUGAGCGCGUCGGGGACGGGGACGCGGCCCCUCCUGUGUUUGUCGGCCGGUGACCCACCCCAGCCCCGGGGAAGGGAUGAGGGCGGCCGCGCUUCAGGCCGGGCCGCGCGGUCUCCCCUGCACCGCCGCCCCCUGGACGAGGGCUGGACCCAAGGCGGUGGUCAGGGACCUCAGAACACAAGUAGAACCAGUCCAGGCCCGGGCCCGCGCUGCCCGGGUAUGGUCCACCAAACGAGCCUUCUCUUUAAGGGUCUCGAGAAGGGCCCCACGCUGGGGGACCCCACUGCAGAACUUUUCGUGAGGGCUGCAAGGAGGGCCGCGUUGUAAAAUAAAGAGGAGACACGAAGCGGCAUCCCCUGAGGGUUGGGGAUCGGGCCGUGAGGAUGGAGUUGGGACAGGCCUUUUUGCUUUGGUAGUUGUAGGGGUUGCAUUGGAAGAUGGGCCAGCGGCAGAGCGGAGCAUGCAGGAAAGAGGAAGAGGCCUUGGACCUGCAGCCCAGGUCGGAUUUGGUGGUUACUGUCUAAAUCUGAAGCUUUGGCCUGCCUUGACUCCCCACCCACCCAGGGCAGCUUGGACCUCUCUCUAGCCACCCUUGUCCCGAGGGGUCUGAGUGUCUCCCAGACUAAACUGGGCAUUUUCUGCAGUGGAAGGAUAAAAAUGGAAGCGUUUACGCGCCUCCCAGACACUGGUAUUAGGGCUCAAGAGCUCUACAGAUUGCCUGGGGAGGUAGGGGUGGAAGGGGUUCAGUUCCUCACUUGGAGUUAGCUCUUAGAAGCUCAGAAGAGUGGAGGCGAAGAGGGGACAUUCAGCCUGGGAGAUCUGGGGCAGCGGGAAGUGGGGAUACCGGGUCGGGGUGAAGGCAAGCAGCAGCACCCCCAGCAUGGGGAAGAAGGCCUGAGGCUGUCUCUGGCCACUGCAUCUCUAGGCCUUCUCUUGGAGCGGGAGGUGGCUGGGUUUCCAGGGAAUUUUGUGUGAGUAAAAUUUUCCCAUGUCAUUGGAGAGUUAGGAAGAGCUCCUCUUUUGGGGCCUUUUUCCAAGCGGGUCCCCCUCACCCCGCUACAGGCUUCUUGUCACUCAGGCUUCAAUAAAGGCCAUUCUGGGGGCUGCUUGCUGUAACCUAGAAGACAGAAUUGCCUAGGAUCAUUAGUAGAGUCAUUUUUUUUUUUUCCUACUCUACAGGCCAAUUAAUUUGAAACAAGCUUCUAUGGUCUUUUAACUGUUAGCAUCACCACUGUUGUAACAGGACCAUAAACCCAGUCUGCCCCACUCUAGUCCCAUGUUUUUAAUAACUGUUGGCUCUUUUUUAGGGGUUUGGGUGGGGGGAUUCCUACCUCAGUGAUCCCUGCUGAGCCUGGCUGUUGUCUGUGGUCCAGAAGGUUCCUUUACCUGACUCACUCCUCUCAGAUCAUGUCCAAAUACCAGGAGACUGACCCAGGUCCUCACCAGGUGAGUAGAGGUCUGGCUCUGAGCGACAUUAAGGAAAAGACACAGACAGAGACUGUUUUCUCUUUGGGUCUUCACAUUCAGUGAGUACAGUUCAGAAGUGUUCUUAACUGAGAGAAGCCCCUUUUGGGGAAAAUUUUUCUUUACUGUUGACUCCUUUUUCCUGCUAUGCUUCACUUUUCCGGCAUUUUAAAUUAGUUUGUUUUAAUUAUGAGUAGACUACAUCUACACAGUAAAUAGUCAAACAGAAAUAGGAUAGAAAAUGAAAAGUAAAGGUCUCUCUUUCCUUGCCACCCUCCCCAAAAAGUUCCCACGGUUCCUGGGUUGCCCUUCCAGUAUAUACAAGACUAUUUGUAUAUUCCCUUCUAAAAAAAAACGGAAUAGUAGUAUGCAAACUGUUCUGCCACGUGCUCUUCUAACUUAAUAUAUCAACAUUAUCAUAUCACUUAUAUAUGACCUCUUUCUUGUAGUUGUGUUAUGUCUCAUAGUAUGAUUAUACAGUAAUAUAUUGAACUGAUGUAACCAUGGAUGAUUAUUUCCAGUUUUUCUUUUUUUGUGGUUGCCAACAAUGCUUCAGUGAAUAUCCCUGUACAUAGAUCAGUGUGUACUUGUGCAGGUAUAUCUGCGUGUGAUAUUGUGAAAUAUAUAUUUGAUUGUAGUCCCUGUUUCCUGACCUAAAACUCUUAAAUUCCUUGGACUCUCCAGAGUGAUGAAAAUAUCUUACCUUUUGUAUGCUAAUGAGAUGGUUGGUGACUUGGAGACCCUAGAUAGCUUCAGGAUGGGGACUGGUCACCAGAAAGAUCAAGGCAGGAUUAGAGGGUUGGGACUUUUAGUCCCACCCUGUCCCCCCAGACCUCCACAGAGAGGAGAGGGGCUGAAAGUUAAGUUGAUCACCAGUGACCAAUGAUGUAAUCAAUCAGACAUAUGCAAUGAAGCCUGUAUAAAAGCCCAAAGGAUAGGGUUUGUUGAGUUCUGGAGAGCAGAACAUCAGGUUCCUAGAGGGUGGCGUGCUCAGAGAGGAUAUGGAAGCGCCACAGCCCUUCCCACAUUUCUUGCCCUGUGCAUCUCUUCCAUCUCACUGUUCAUCUAUAUGCUUUGUAAUAUCCUUCCUCAUAAAUGAGCAAACAGAAGUAAAGUGUUUCACUGAGUUCUGUGAUCCACUCUAGCAGAUUAGUCCAAACAAGGAGUGGGUUGGGGGAACUCCAGUUUAUAGCUGGGCAGGCAGAGGUACAGGAGACAACCUACUACCUGGGAUUGGCAUCUGAAAUGGGGGGCGGUCUCAUAGGAUCAAACCCUGAGCCCCUGCUAUUUCCAGGUACAUAGUGCCAGAAUUGAAUUGAAUUAAAGGACACCCAGCCGGUGUCUGUUGCAGAAUUGCUUGGUAUGAGGGGAAACAUCCCCCACACAUCUAGUGUUAAAAGUGUGCUGGCUGUGUGAGAGUGGGAGACAACACUUUGGUUUCUCCUAUAUCACAACACUGGAAUUAGAUUCCUGGAAGUGAAAUUGCUGCAACUUUUUAUGUCCUUGGUUGGAUGAAGAAACCUCGUGCUGUGACCUCCACUUUACCUGCUCACACCCCUGCUUUUGUCCUCUGCAGUCAGGCCAGCUCCUCUGCAGGUCUCAGUCCUGUUUAUUGCCUUGAGGAUCACCAUCAUGGACCAAGCAGUUUCCCAGCAUGGAUCCUGGCCCUUCUUAUACUCAGCCUCCAGACCCUUAUGUGGGGAGCUGGGGCUAAAGUCUAUAAGCUGUGUUCCUGGAGUUCCAGAGUCACUACUAGACUACGAAGGAGCAAAGCAUGGAGUCGUCUUGCUCUUUCGAGGACUUAGGAGGGGAAAAUGGAAACUUGAUUAAGGAGAACUUCUCCUGGGUUCAUCUAUGGUGGCAGCAUGGAGUUUUGUAAUAUACCACUAGCAUGCAGUGCUCAACCACAACUUUUAAAAUUGUUAUGGGCAAAGUGCCA